CGUUGGUGACAUCCUAUGUCAUUGUACUCCUAAAGGGACAGGUGAAACAGCACAGGGGCUGCAGGUCAGAACUCAGGCAUCGCUGUGCCCACCCCAGCUCCCUGCUCGCCCAGCCUCCACUCUGAAGCAAUGGGCACUUGGAGCUGUUAAGAAACAGGGAUCUGAGCAGUUCUCUGGUUCACCCUGGAGCCAUCUGCAUCCAUCAUGUUUCCCACAGCUCUCCCCGAGUGUUGGUGCUGGCUCCCCCCGAGUGUUCCCUUAGCUCCUGGCACACCCUUCUUAUGAGAGCACCUAGUACUCCCCGUCACAGUGCUCUGUCUGUCACUUGCGUCCAUUGAUCCACUUUGUGCUGGUUGAGGGCUGGAGCCCCCUCCUGUUAACUUCUCAAGUCCGUUUCUAAUGCAGCAGCCCCUGGCACUUAAGCACCCUGUCAGUACCUGCCAAAUGAAUGAAAUGUACUCUAAACAUAGUAUGAAGUCUGUGUUUUGAAACUCCUUUUUGGAGCCGUUUGCUAUCAUUUUCCCAGGCAAUUUAAAAAAUUUCCAGCCUUGCUGCCAAUAACCUGAAGGGGUAAAGGAAUGCCGGCGUGCCCCAUGGGACAUGUCACUCUGGAUGGUCCUUUGGCAGCAGGGACUUUGAUAGCGCUCUUUCAAACCCAGCAGGAUGGUGGAGGGGUACGUGGCUGAGUACCUCCCUGGUCUGACCCUGUGUGACGCCACCCGGUGCUUGCAGCUGCCCUCUGGAAGGUGUUGCUUUAGCGGCAGAGCCAGAGGGCACCAAGCAUGUGUCUGUCUCCAAAGUCCUGGGCACCACAUCACAAUGCCUUCCUGAGAAGCAGAAUCAAGGACAGUUGCUGAUCUUCAUUCUUUCCCACCAAAGGAAAACUCUUCUUCGUUAUGCCUUGCCAGUCAGAGUGACGGUUUCAUCCGCAACCUGGACCAGGUUCGGGAAUAUUCUACACAUAAAUUUUCAGAUCCAGUUUUGACUAUUGUUAUGGGCUUAGUUGGAUGCCCCCAGAUUCCUACGUUGACGUCCUAACACCCAGCAUCUCAGAAUGUGGCAGUAUUCAGAGAUGGGAUUUUUAAAGAGGUGAUAAAGGGAAAACGAGCUCACUGGGGGUGGGCACCAAGCCAACAGGACUGGUGUGCUUACAGGAAGAGGAGAUUAAGACACAGACAAUACAGACUGAAGGACAAUCGUUUGAAGACAGAGUGGAGAACACAGCUAUCUGCAAGCCAAGGAGAGACGUUUGAAGAAUCGAACCCUAUUGCCACCUUGAUCUUGGACUUCCAGCGCCCAGAACCAUGAGAAAAUAAAUUGUAUGUUGCCUAAGCCACCCGGAUGUUGAUAUUUUGUUUAUGACAACCCAUGACUCAGAAAUUUGAGGACCUCCCUUCUAGACUUUAUCCUGAAGUUCUGUUUCAGCUUCAGGGGCUUGUGUAAUACUACUGUAUCAAGGAGGGAGGCUCCUGCCAUUCCCCACACUGGGUCGUUGAGACACUGCACAGCUGUCCCCAGGGCUGGCUACAUAAUUUACAAGCCCCAUGCGAAAUGAAGAUAUAGGGCCCUUUGGGCAAAAACAGGGAGGAAGUGUUUGUUAAAGGUACUAAAAUAGAAAGCUCAUUUCCUCCAUGGUCUGUCUUCUGAAGGGGCAUGGCUGCUGUUUUCUAUUUGCAUUUAAUGUCAUUCCAAGCAAAUAAAAAUUUUAAAAUGUGA